UUCCUCGCAAGUUCCUAUUUGCGUGUCGUAUCUUGUGUUCCCAGACGUUUUGUCUUCAGUGGUACUGUGGAUGUAGCCAUUUUUGUAUUAUUUGAUUAUGAAAGAAACAUGGUAUUUAAUCACGCGAGACUCUGUAACGUGUUCUUUAUGUAGACUUUCUACUGCAUAGAGUUGUAUCUUCAUGUGAAUCUGCAAUUUGAUUUCUAUCCCAUCUAAUGAUAAACCUUAAUGACGAGUUAUGUUUUUUGUUACUGAUUUUUAAAGUUGCAUUCUACUUUCGUGCUUACUGGAAACAAUACGCGGUCGUUGCUACUUUUGAGUCUUUUAGCAAUAGGUCCCCUGCAUCCACUGGCACUUAUGCAAUGUGAACACUUUUGCAAGAGUCACAAGUUUACUGCAUCGAAUUGUGCUUAGUGGAUCUUUUUUUCUUUUUGCGGUGUUCGGAUUAUAUAUACCUUUUGAGUUUUCAACUUACUUGUAUUGAUGUAAUUGUUUAACCCUUGUUGUAGGAGAAUAAGGAGUACAAGGCUUUCAAAGACAAAGAUGUAAGUGAGAUUGACAUUCACUUUCGUCAACUAUUCGACGACAAGUACGUAGUCACCCUGACAAAGGUGUAUAGAACAUGCUUCAAUUUGUUUGAGGACAAUGUGUUCAAAGGCCAUAGGGAUGCAAUCAUUAUCAAUGCAGAGAGCAACAGUUUGAAUGAUGAGGAAGAUGAUAGGAAAGGUAAAUCAAGCAUGGGCAUUUCCAAAACCAAAAACAGCGAAAAAAGAAAGUCAUCCACAAAGAAGCAAAAGAAGAAGUAAAAAAUUUCUGCACAUGAGUUGUUGUUCUUCAUUGACCAAGCCAACAAUGCCACCGAGAAAGUGACAGUAUAGAUCAAUACCAUUAUUGCUCCGAUCGACAACGUUGGAGUUGUCUGUGUUGAAGAGUUGCUCACGAUUGAAUGGCUCGAGCAUCAUACACAUUUGUACCUUUACGCCUGUACACUCCUAACGCAUAAGCGUUAUCGGGAUAUGGUCGAUGUCAUGAGAGAUGUAGAUGAAAAUUUUGGAUGGAUUGAGUGACAGUUUAUUGAGCGUAAUAAAUUGUUCCAUUGGUAAGAUUACAAAAUUCGAGUACUUUUGUGUUUUUUUCUAGAACAAUUGCCUUGUAUCUUUCCCGAUGAUCUAAACGUUAUAUAUUUCAAUUUGUAUAUGAUUAUGUU
rnacentral:lncRNA from 1 species